rnacentral:rRNA from 1 species
AGAGUUUGAUCCUGGCUCAGGACGAACGCUGGCGGCGUGCCUAAUACAUGCAAGUAGAACGCUGAAGACUUUAGCUUGCUAAAGUUGGAAGAGUUGCGAACGGGUGAGUAACGCGUAGGUAACCUGCCUACUAGCGGGGGAUAACUAUUGGAAACGAUAGCUAAUACCGCAUAACAGCAUUUAACCCAUGUUAGAUGCUUGAAAGGAGCAAUUGCUUCACUAGUAGAUGGACCUGCGUUGUAUUAGCUAGUUGGUGAGGUAACGGCUCACCAAGGCGACGAUACAUAGCCGACCUGAGAGGGUGAUCGGCCACACUGGGACUGAGACACGGCCCAGACUCCUACGGGAGGCAGCAGUAGGGAAUCUUCGGCAAUGGGGGCAACCCUGACCGAGCAACGCCGCGUGAGUGAAGAAGGUUUUCGGAUCGUAAAGCUCUGUUGUAAGAGAAGAACGUGUGUGAGAGUGGAAAGUUCACACAGUGACGGUAACUUACCAGAAAGGGACGGCUAACUACGUGCCAGCAGCCGCGGUAAUACGUAGGUCCCGAGCGUUGUCCGGAUUUAUUGGGCGUAAAGCGAGCGCAGGCGGUUUAAUAAGUCUGAAGUUAAAGGCAGUGGCUUAACCAUUGUUCGCUUUGGAAACUGUUAGACUUGAGUGCAGAAGGGGAGAGUGGAAUUCCAUGUGUAGCGGUGAAAUGCGUAGAUAUAUGGAGGAACACCGGUGGCGAAAGCGGCUCUCUGGUCUGUAACUGACGCUGAGGCUCGAAAGCGUGGGGAGCAAACCAGGAUUAGAUACCCUGGUAGUCCACGCCGUAAACGAUGA